GCAUAUCAAUAAGCGGAGGAAAAGAAACCAACAGGGAUUGCCUCAGUAACGGCGAGUGAAGCGGCAAAAGCUCAAAUUUGAAAUCUGGUACCUUCGGUGCCCGAGUUGUAAUUUGAAGGUAGUUUUCUGGUGCUGGUCCUUGUCUAUGUUCCUUGGAACAGGACGUCAUAGAGGGUGAGAAUCCCGUCUGAUGGGGAAUCCAGUGCUAUGUAGAUUUCUACCGACGAGUCGAGUUGUUUGGGAAUGCAGCUCUAAGUGGGUGGUAAAUUCCAUCUAAAGCUAAAUAUUGGCGAGAGACCGAUAGCGAACAAGUACAGUGAUGGAAAGAUGAAAAGAACUUUGAAAAGAGAGUGAAAAAGUACGUGAAAUUGUUGAAAGGGAAGGAUAUUGGAUCAGACUUGGUGUUUUGUGAUUAUCUUCCCCUUGUGGGUUGUGCACUCGCAUUUCACUGGGCCAGCAUCGGUUCGGAUGGCAAGAUAAUGGCGCAGGAACGUGGCACUCUUCGGGGUGUGUUAUAGCCUGUGUUGAUGUUGCCUAUCUGGACCGAGGACUGCGGCUUUUGCCUAGGAUGCUGGCGUAAUGAUUCAAUAUCGCCCGUCUUGAAACACGGACC
rnacentral:rRNA from 1 species